AACGACGGAGCCGAAGGCAACAAGCCGGAGCUGACGCUGCUGGGCUACUGGUCGAGCCCGUUCGCGAUGCGCGCCCGCAUCGCGCUCAACCUGAAGCGCCUCCCGUACGAGUACAUCGAGGAGGUCGGCCUCUUCGACGGCAAGAGCGACCUCCUCCUCGCCUCCAACCCCGUCAAGAAAAAAAUCCCCGUGCUCAUCCACAACGGGAACCCCAUCCCGGAGUCGCAGAUCAUCGUGCAGUACCUCGACG
rnacentral:lncRNA from 1 species